GACGAACGCUGGCGGCGUGCCUAAUACAUGCAAGUAGAACGCUGAAGGAGGAGCUUGCUCUUCUGGAUGAGUUGCGAACGGGUGAGUAACGCGUAGGUAACCUGCCUGGUAGCGGGGGAUAACUAUUGGAAACGAUAGCUAAUACCGCAUAACAGUAGAUGUUGCAUGACAUUUACUUAAAAGGUGCAAUUGCAUCACUACCAGAUGGACCUGCGUUGUAUUAGCUAGUUGGUGGGGUAACGGCUCACCAAGGCGACGAUACAUAGCCGACCUGAGAGGGUGAUCGGCCACACUGGGACUGAGACACGGCCCAGACUCCUACGGGAGGCAGCAGUAGGGAAUCUUCGGCAAUGGACGGAAGUCUGACCGAGCAACGCCGCGUGAGUGAAGAAGGUUUUCGGAUCGUAAAGCUCUGUUGUAAGAGAAGAACGAGUGUGAGAGUGGAAAGUUCACACUGUGACGGUAUCUCACCAGAAAGGGACGGCUAACUACGUG
rnacentral:rRNA from 1 species